rnacentral:pre_miRNA from 1 species
CAAGUACUCCCUCCAUCCAAAAAUACUUGUCAUCAAAAUGGAUAAAAAAGAUAUAUCUAGAACUAAUAUACAUCUAGAUACAUCCCCUUUUAUUCAUUUUGAUGACAAGUAUUUCCGACGGAGGGAGUACUAC